GAUGAAGAACGUAGCGAAAUGCGAUACGUAAUGUGAUUUGCAAAUUCAGUGAAUCAUCGAGUCUUUGAACGCACAUUGCGCCCCCUGGUAUUCCGGGGGGCAUGCCUGUCCGAGCGUCAUUGCUGCCCUCAAGCACGGCUUGUGUGUUGGGCCCCGUCCUCCGAUCCCGGGGGACGGGCCCGAAAGGCAGCGGCGGCACCGCGUCCGGUCCUCGAGCGUAUGGGGCUUUGUCACCCGCUCUGUAGGCCCGGCCGGCGCUUGCCGAUCAACCCAAAUUUUUUAUCCAGGUUGACCUCGGAUCAGGUAGGGAUACCCGCUGAACUUAAGCAUAUCAAUAAGCGGAGGA
rnacentral:misc_RNA from 1 species